rnacentral:rRNA from 1 species
UCCGGUUGAUCCUGCCGGAGGUUACUGCUAUCGGUGUUCGCCUAAGCCAUGCGAGUCAUAUGUAGCAAUACAUGGCGUACUGCUCAGUAACACGUGGAUAACCUGCCCUUGGGACCGGCAUAACCCCGGGAAACUGGGGAUAAUUCCGGAUAACGCAUAUGUGCUGGAAUGCUUUAUGCGUAAAAUGGAUUCGUCUGCCCAAGGAUGGGUCUGCGGCCUAUCAGGUAGUAGUGGGUGUAAUGUACCUACUAGCCAGCGACGGGUACGGGUUGUGAGAGCAAGAGCCCGGAGAUGGAUUCUGAGACAUGAAUCCAGGCCCUACGGGGCGCAGCAGGCGCGAAAACUUUACAACGCGGGAAACCGUGAUAAGGGGACACCGAGUGCCAGCAUCAUAUGCUGGCUGUCCAGGUGUGUAAAAUACACCUGUUAGCAAGGGCCGGGCAAGACCGGUGCCAGCCGCCGCGGUAAUACCGGCGGCCCGAGUGGUGAUCGUGAUUAUUGGGUCUAAAGGGUCCGUAGCCGGUUUGGUCAGUCCUCCGGGAAAUCUGAUAGCUCAACUAUUAGGCUUUCGGGGGAUACUGCCAGACUUGGAACCGGGAGAGGUAAGAGGUAC